AAAAUAAUUACAAAAGGACACAACAUAGGUGUUUUUCCCUUGAAAGCUGCAUUGGAUUCCAGGAGGCAGUGUUUGUAGAAGUGAUUUCAACCUGAAGAAUUAACAGGUCUGUGCGGGUUACAUAGUGGCGCCCGAACAGGGAUGGAAUCGGGUGCUCAAUAAGUGGCGCCUGAACACGGGACUUCAAGGAUGUGAACGAAGAAGGUCUGCUGAAGCAGAGGAACUGAAAUUGGCAAGGCAGACAGGGACCCCGGGACAAGUCUGCCGGCAGUGGAUAUAAGACACUGUGUGAAGAAUCCUAGCUGGCCUAAAGGAAGGUGAGAGAUGAAUCAUACCACCUGAGACUUUACUGGACCAUCCAGUCCCCAGCUGACCUGGCAGGUGAUCUGGCAACUGACCAUAGAUGCAUGAAUGGGCUCAGCUGAGGAUGACAUCUGGCCCAGAUUAGCAGACCCAUCUUGAUGACACACAGA